ACUUUAACACUGAGGCGUGACGACGAGGCACUACGGUGCUGAAGCAACAAAUGCCCUGCUUCCAGGAAAAGCCUCUAAGCAUCAGGUAACACGAAAUCGUACCCCAAACCGACACAGGUGGUCAGGUAGAGAAUACCAAGGCGCUUGAGAGAACUCGGGUGAAGGAACUAGGCAAAAUGGUGCCGUAACUUCGGGAGAAGGCACGCUGACACGUAGGUGAAGUGAUUUACUCAUGGAGCUGAAGUCAGUCGAAG
rnacentral:rRNA from 7 species